ACGCUCGACACCUACGGGAGGCAGCAGUGGGGAAUAUUGCACAAUGGGGGAAACCCUGAUGCAGCGACGCCGCGUGAGUGAAGAAGUAAUUCGUUAUGUAAAGCUCUAUCAGCAGGGAAGAAAGUGACGGUACCUGAGUAAGAAGCCCCGGCUAACUACGUGCCAUCAGCCGCGGUAAUCUGAGCGGCUGGCAAGGC
rnacentral:rRNA from 1 species